UACGGCCAUGUGACGUUGAAACAUUGGUUCCCGUAUGAUCACAAAAGUUAAGCAACAUUGAACCUGGUCAGUACGUAGAUGGGUGACCCCUUGAGAAUACAAAGUGUUGUAAG